GAGCCACCGCGCCCAGCCUAAAUUUUUAUUCUUAAGGGUGAUUCUCAACAAGCAGGCAUUGAAAAUCUGAAUGUCCAAAGUGUGCCAGAUGAAUGGGUUACUGAUGCCUUGCUGCAAUUUGUGUCACUUCUUAUCACUGCAAGGAACAUCAAAUUCUAUCAAAAUAUGGGAAAAAAUCAUUUUGGUGUUGCAUUUGCAUAUCCAAGGAUUGCAGGAUGGUUUGUAUAAUCAAAUUAUGUAGAGUUGUAAAAAGGGAGCAUCAUUUAAAUAGCUUACAAGAUUACUUUGAAGACGCACAUUAAAAUCUAAAGAACCCAUAGCCUCCAAGAUCUUUACAAAAAGUUAAAUGCUAAUUGAUUAUGACAGCUUUGUCUUUAUCACUGGCACCAUUCUCUAUUUCCACUCUGUCAAUAUCACAGCUCAAAUAUCACUCUGUCCUCUGUUCCUCUUCUAACCACAUUCAUUCCAUGCUGUAAUAACAGAUGGAAGUUUAUGCACGACUAGCUUUCCCCCCCCUCCCCAUUGUUGAUCAAAAGGAGCAGCCUGAAAAUAAGAAAAAAACAGAAUUUGCUGAAAUUCUGAUUUCUUUCAGCAGUUUUAUAGAUUUUAUAACUUAUCUUUUAUUGACUAUGCAAGGUCUCUGCUCCCCAGCAUCUGUUUGUUGCAUCUGGGGAGAAAGAUAAAUUCUCUUUUUUUAUGCCACUGAACCAAAUUUAAGAGACAGACAAACAAACAGGUCUCAGUAGAAGAGGACAGAAUCGCAUCCACAGCCCAGCUGUCCUCUUUCCCAGGCCCUGUGUGGGCAGGACAGGAGGAGGAGGAGGAAGAGGAGGAGGAGGAAGUGCCUUGUAGUCCAUUGAAUUUGCCAGCCCAUCAGGGAUGAGGGUGCCAGAGACUGGCUGAUCGGGCUUAGGGAGGUGCUCCCCCCAGAGUGGGGACCUGGGGGCUCGUGGCCAUGAGCACAAGCUUUGAAGAGGCUGCUUUGUAAACUUUGUAAAAAAUUCACAUCAUUUACAUUUCUCAGACUUAAAGAAUUGUGCCUGGUCACCCAGAGACAUGAUUAUACAUCACCAAACUUCAUUAUAAUAAUGGCCCUGGUACUCCAACUUCUUGAAAGCCUCAGCUGUUCGAUUCAGCCUCUUCAGCUCCAUAACUGUUUAUAAGAUUAAUAGACUCUGAUGCAUAAUUGACUCUCCCACCAGGAGGAAAAAAAAGAGAGACAGUCUAAUCGUAGCCCUGAAAAAAUAACAUUCCCAUAAAGAGAUGGUGUCUGUCCACAUUGACAGGGUCAGGGAUAGAGGAGUGUGGCUAGCACCACCAAGUCAGGAGAGAAGGGGAGACGGAUGAGGAGUCAGCCCCAGGGAAGGGAGUCUCAGAACGUCGAUGGGACAUGUCUCAUCAUUUAGAGGCUUCAGUGGACACCCUGAAAAAUUGGCUUUAUUGCAGAACUGGAUGGGAUUCAAUUCUACAGCAGGGAGCAAGGGAGCUAGGAAUAGGAAAGAAAGAGGAAAGGAAGGUCCCCGCCACACAGGAAGUGGAAGGAAGAGGAAAGAAAGAGGAUAGGAAGGUCCCCGCCACACAGGAAGUGGAAGGAAGAGGAAAGAAAAAGGACAGGAAGGUCCCCGCCAUACAGGAAGUGGAAGAGGAAAGAAAGAGGAUAGGAAGGUUCCCCACCACACAGCAAGUGGAAGGAAAUAGAAAGGGAAUCCACAGAGCAGCAGGAUGGGAAAAAGACCAGGCAUCUUGCAAUCUUCCUGGAAAACAAACAAACAAAGAAAACAGAAAAAGCAGAGCAAGAUGAGAGAAGAUUGACAUGGAGACAGGGUCUUAUUUUCUACUCUGUAUAGUGAGAGAUCCUCACCUAAAAGACCUCACCCUGUUGUUAGAGGGAAGAGAAAUGUGGGUUAAUCUUUCAUUGUCAUCAGAUUUGUGCUUCUUCCUCUUUACUUAAGUAACUGCUUUAGCUGGACCUCCGCAGCAUCUGCUGCUGCUUCUCCAGCUCCUGGAAAACCCCAAGGGGGUUGCAAAGAUAAGUCUUAACUCUGCCUCUGUUUUCCUUUCAGCUGACCACCAAAUGACCCCAGAGUGAAGAAGGCACAUCAGGCUCCUAUUAAUGUGGCCACAGAUUCACACAUUUGCUUGAUGAAAGCCUAGUGCAAAGGAAUAGAGUCUUAUUGUGGACUUGGAAACCUCCUAGUUAUUUAGAUGUGAACUCACGCUUUUGCUCAUCUCUGGGAAACACAGCACAUUUUUUUAAAGUACAUCUUGCAUCAUGGAUUGAAAGGCUAAGACCUUACCAUUAGAUCUAGCAUGAAGCCCUCACCCAUGCCGUGUAACUCUACAUUUACUCCUUCCUUCCAUCUUCAGGGGAAAAGAAGCAGGGGCUGAUAAAACAAGCAGAGAAGGCCCAGGGUCGGUUUAUUGACUUCUAAGGACUAUUGGUCUUUUGCAGUGAAGGAAAAAAAAAAAAUGCCUUAGGACCUGCUAGGUGCUAAUUUGACCUGGCAAUGAGGUAAAGUUAGGCUUUGGCUGUCUUCAACCUCCUAGGAUCGGAAUGCCAUCUACUUAGCAUAGGAGUCAGACAAUUCCCUGGCAAUAGAUCGCUUUCCACUUGUGCAGCUACUGAAUAAAUAGCAAAGUAAUUAACAGUGUGCUAUGGCUAGAUGUAUCAGGUGGAAUUUCAUUACAGCAGAAAGAACUGAGAGAAUGAAGGAGUCAUUUUGUGUCCACCGUCAGGUGAAUCGUUUGUGCUUUCUUUCACUAGGAUGGACAGGUUAUCUCUGCUUUUCUUCAAGAAGAGAAAUUUCUGAAUUCCCUAUCAUAUCUUCACUUUGAUCAAGGGGAAAGGAAGAAAAGAAAACUCUUAAGUGCCUAAAAUUGGUCCAAAAAUAAAGAAUUCUUCUCAUUUUUCCAUUUAAUGAUUUUGUUCCUGAAACCUAUGGGUGAUUCUCUUUUGUUGUAUUUUUUGUUUCUUUAUUUUUUCUCAACUAUUAAAUAUCUGAAUUUUGAAA